rnacentral:rRNA from 1 species
GAUGAACGCUGGCGGCGUGCCUAAUACAUGCAAGUCGAGCGAAUGGAUUAAGAGCUUGCUCUUAUGAAGCUAGCGGCGGACGGGUGAGUAACACGUGGGUAACCUGCCCAUAAGACUGGGAUAACUCCGGGAAACCGGGGCUAAUACCGGAUAACAUUUUGAACCGCAUGGUUCGAAAUUGAAAGGCGGCUUCGGCUGUCACUUAUGGAUGGACCCGCGUCGCAUUAGCUAGUUGGUGAGGUAACGGCUCACCAAGGCAACGAUGCGUAGCCGACCUGAGAGGGUGAUCGGCCACACUGGGACUGAGACACGGCCCAGACUCCGACGGGAGGAAGCAGUAGGGAAUCUUCCGCAAUGGACGAAAGUCUGACGGAGCAACGCCGCGUGAGUGAUGAAGGCUUUCGGGUCGUAAAACUCUGUUGUUAGGGAAGAACAAGUGCUAGUUGAAUAAGCUGGCACCGUGACGGUACCUAACCAGAAAGCCACGGCUAACUACGUGCCAGCCGCCGCAGUAA